GCUGGGUAUGGUGGCAUAUGCCUGUAGUCCCAGCUACUCAGGAGGCUGAGGUUGGAGGAUCGCUGGAGCCCAGGAGGUCGAGGCUGCAGUGAGCCGAGAUUGUGCCACUGCACUCCAGCCUGGGCAACAGAGUGAGACCUUGUCUCAA
rfam:Papio anubis isolate 1X1155 chromosome 14, whole genome shotgun sequence.